UAGGGAAUAUUGGACAAUGGGGGGAACCCUGAUCCAGCCAUGCCGCGUGGAGGAAGACUGCCCUCUGGGUUGUAAACUCCUUUUAUAUGGGAAGAACCGUCCUCAUUGAUGAGUGACCUGACGGUACCAGAGGAAUAAGCACCGGCUAACUCCGUGCCAGCAGCCGCGGUAAUACGGAGGGUGCAAGCGUUAUCCGGAUUUACUGGGUGUCAAGGGCGCGCAGGCGGGAUAAAAAGUCAGUGGUGAAAUCCUCCAGCUUAACUGGAGAACUGCCUUUUAUACUUUGAUUCUUGAGUUCGGGAGAGAGAGACGGAAUUCCAGGUGUAGUGGUGAAAUACGUAGAUAUCUGGAAGAACACCAGUUGCGAAGGCGGUCUCUUGGUCCGACACUGACGCGGAGGCGCGAAAGCGUGGGGAGCAAACA
rnacentral:rRNA from 1 species